NNUAGCUCAGCUGGUUAGAGCACAUCACUCAUAAUGAUGGGGUCACAGGUUCGAAUCCCGUCGUAGCC
rnacentral:tRNA from 1 species